GACGAACGCUGGCGGCGUGCUUAACACAUGCAAGUCGAACGGAAAGGCCCUGCUUUUGUGGGGUGCUCGAGUGGCGAACGGGUGAGUAACACGUGAGUAACCUGCCCUUGACUUUGGGAUAACUUCAGGAAACUGGGGCUAAUACAGGAUAUGAGCUCCUGCUGCAUGGUGGGGGUUGGAAAGUUUCGGCGGUUGGGGAUGGACUCGCGGCUUAUCAGCUUGUUGGUGGGGUAGUGGCUUACCAAGGCUUCGACGGGUAGGCGGCCUGAGAGGGUGAACGGGGACCUUGGGCCUGCGAUACGGCGCAGUCUGGAACGUGAGGCAGUAGUGGAGAAUAUUGCACAAUGGGGGGACGUCUGAUGCGGAAACGCCGCGUUCGGAAUGACGGCCUUCGGGUUGUAAACAGCUGUCGCCUGUGACGAAGCGUGAGUGACGGUAAUGGGUAAAGAAGCACCGGCUAACUACGUG
rnacentral:rRNA from 1 species